UAGGGAAUAUUGGGCAAUGGGCGGAAGCCUGACCCAGCCAUGCCGCGUGCAGGAUGAAGGCCUUCUGGGUUGUAAACUGCUUUUACCAGGGACGAAAACACCCAUGCGUGGGGAACUGACGGUACCUGGGGAAUAAGCACCGGCUAACUCCGUGCCAGCAGCCGCGGUAAUACGGAGGGUGCAAGCGUUGUCCGGAUUUAUUGGGUUUAAAGGGUGCGUAGGCGGCCCCUUAAGUCAGUGGUGAAAGCCCGCGGCUCAACCGCGGAACUGCCAUUGAUACUGGGGGGCUUGAGUACAGACGAGGUAGGCGGAAUUGAAGAUGUAGCGGUGAAAUGCUUAGAUAUCUUCAAGAACACCGAUUGCGUAGGCAGCUUACUAGGCUGUAACUGACGCUGAGGCACGAAAGCGUGGGGAGCGAA
rnacentral:rRNA from 1 species